GUUUUGAUAGCAAGUUGAGUGAAUAUACUAUAUUUAAGUCAUUUUCAACAUUACCAACAUUAUUAAGGAAAUAGAGGAAUUAACCAUCAUGUUUUAUGUACUGUCUACAGAGGAGGUCACAAUAGAGAGGAUGUAGUCUGUCUUCAUGUUCUAGUACCCAUAAUGCAUCAUAUUUUAUCUUCUGUCUUCAGACAAGGUCACAAGAGAGAGGGAUGAACUCAAAGAAGAACUGAUUGAACUCAAAGAAGAACUGAGGAAAGCUAAAGAGACCAUCCAAUCCCUCUCCACCUCUCCAGGAGGUCAACAGGAAACACAGACUCCUUCCCAAAAGUCUGAGACAACUGAAGGGAUGGAGAUGAAGUCUUUACCAGGGAGGAAGUCUGUUCCUGGUUCAGGGUCUUUACCUGAGAAGAGGCCUUUACUGGGUCCUGGACCACAGAAUGAUGAUCUGGAUGAGAUGGAGAGGGGAGGAAGAGUUACUACAGACAAUAACUCUAUGCUAUAGGGUUACUAUAGAGAGACAAUAACUAUAGAGCUAUAGGGUUACUAUAGAGAGACUAUAACUAUAGAGAGACUAUAACUAUAUGCUAUAGGGUUACUAUAGAGAGACAAUAACUAUAGAGCUAUAGGGUUACUAUAGAGAGACUAUAACUAUAGAGAGACUAUAACUAUAUGCUAUAGGGUUACUAUAGAGAGACUAUAACUAUAGAGAGACUAUAACUAUAUGCUAUAGGGUUACUAUAGAGAGACAAUAACUAUAUGCUAUAGGGUUACUAUAGAGAGACUAUAACUAUAGAGAGACUAUAACUAUAGAGAGACUAUAACUAUAUGCUAUAGGGUUACUAUAGAGAGACUAUAACUAUAUGCUAUAGGGUUACUAUAGAGACUAUAACUAUAGAGCUGGGUUACUAUAGAGAGACUAUAACUAUAGAGCUGGGUUACUAUAGAGAGACUAUACCUUUCUAUAGAGACCUGUCCCACCUAACAAAGCUGAGUUUCUGAGUAUAUAACUGAGUGAUAUGAAUCUUGGUAAGACAAAGUUAUCUGAUAAACGUGUUAGUCAGUUCUCUAUAAUCCACUUCCAGUAGUUAGUUCUUUACUUUUUGAAGUUUCACUACCCAUGUCUGUGUUAUGGGUUUAUAU